UACAGAGGCUCCAAGCAUUAUCCGGAUUUACUGGGCGUAAAGGGUGCGUAGGCGGUGUUAUUAGUCGGGUGUUAAAUCCCGGGGCUCAACCUCAGAAUCGCAUUCGAAACGGUAACACUAGAAGAAGUCAGAGGUGAACAGAACUCUCGGUGUAGGGGUGAAAUCCGUUGAUAUCGAGGGGAAUACCAAAGGCGAAGGCAGUUCACUGGGGCUUUCUUGACGCUGAGGCACGAAAGCGUGGGUAGCGAAUCGG
rnacentral:rRNA from 1 species